CGUGUUGUAGCUCAGUUGGAAGAGCGUCGGCCUGAAAACCCGAAGGCCCUGGUUCGGCUCCAGGCAUCACGG
rnacentral:tRNA from 1 species